AGUGUAGGCGGCUGAAUAAGUCGGAUGUGAAAGCCCUGGGCUCAACCUGGGAAUUGCAUUCGAAACUGUUCAGCUAGAGUUUGGUAGAGGUAAGUGGAAUUCAAGGUGUAGCGGUGAAAUGCGUAGAUAUCUUGAGGAACAUCAGUGGCGAAGGCGGCUUACUGGACCAAAACUGACGCUGAGGCUCGAAAGCGUGGGGAGCAAACAGGAUUAGAUACCCUGGUAGUCC
rnacentral:rRNA from 1 species